rnacentral:rRNA from 1 species
UACGUAGGGGGCGAGCGUUGUCCGGAAUUAUUGGGCGUAAAGAGCUUGUAGGCGGCUUGGUAAGUCGGAUGUGAAAACUCCAGGCUCAACCUGGAGCCGCCAUUCGAUACUGCUAUGGCUAGAGUCCGGUAGGGGAGUGUGGAAUUCCCGGUGUAGCGGUGAAAUGCGCAGAUAUCGGGAGGAACACCGAUGGCGAAGGCAGCCCUCUGGGCCGGCACUGACGCUGAGGAGCGAAAGCGUGGGGAGCGAACAGG